rnacentral:rRNA from 1 species
UUGCUGUGGUAUUUUGACUAUACGAAGGUAUUGAAAUAAGAUUUUAAAUGAGUGCUAAGAGAAUGAUUAAACAAUUAAAAGCUUUCUUUAAUUGAAUAAUUGAAUUUAAUUUUUUAGUGCAAAAGCAAAAAUAAAAAUUAGGGACAAGAAGACCCUAUGAAUUUUUUAUUAAAUUUUAUAAAACUUUAUAUAAAAUUUAAUUUAAUUGGGGUGAUGGAAAAAGAAUAAAUAUCUUUUUUUUUAAAAAAAAUUGGUUCCGUUUUUAGCGAUUAAAUGAAAAAAAUACUCUAGGGAUAACAGCGUAAUAAUUUUGGAUAGUUCAUAUAGAUAAAAUAGUUUGCGACCUCGAUGUUGGAUUAGGAUUCUUUUUUGGUGAAGAAGUUAAAAAAA